CAGCCGCCACGGUAAUACGGAGGGGGCUAGCGUUGUUCGGAAUUACUGGGCGUAAAGCGCACGCAGGCGGCUUUGUAAGUUAGAGGUGAAAGCCCGGAGCUCAACUCCGGAAUUGCCUUUAAGACUGCAGAGCUAGCAGGUGAGAGAGGUGAGUGGAAUUCCGAGUGUAGAGGUGAAAUUCGUAGAUAUUCGGAAGAACACCAGUGGCGAAGGCGGCUCACUGGCUCAUACUGGACGCUGAGGUGCGAAAGCGUGGGGAGCAAACAGGAUUAGAUACCCCCGUAGUCCCUGUCUCUUAUAC
rnacentral:rRNA from 1 species